rnacentral:rRNA from 1 species
CAGUCGCCGCGGUAAUACAGAGGAUGCAAGCGUUAUUCGGAAUGAUUGGGCAUAAAGCGUCUGUAGGUGGCUUUUCAAGUCCACCGUCAAAUCCCCGGGCUCAACCCUGGACAGGCAGUGGAAACUACCAAGCUGGAGUACGGUAGGGGCAGAGGGAAAUUCCGGUGGAGCGGUGAAAUGCGUUGAGAUCGGAAAGAACACCAACGAUGAAAGCACUCUGCUGGGCCGACACUGAUACUGAGAGACGAAAGAUAGGGGAGCAAAUGGGAUUAGAUACCCGCGUAGUCCCUGUCUCUUAUAA